rnacentral:lncRNA from 1 species
AGACCGUUUCUUCCGGAAAGGAUAGAGCCAUACAGAGUUGGAAGGAAAAGGAAAAUAGGCAGUGAGUGAGAUAAAGAAGGAGACUUUCCUUUGUUUAGACAACUGAGUCUACUCGGACGAGUCUUUCCCUUGUUUUUUUGCACUUACCUUUAAAUUCUUUUUUGCACUUACCUUUAAAUUCUUCCUCUUUCUUCACCGAUUCUAAAAUCAACUCCUCCAAUUUAUUUUCUUGAAACUUUAAAUUUGCGGAUAAUCGGAGAUUUCUAUGUGCCCUUUAUUCGGAUCUUAACAGCCGGUAAGCUAAUUUUCAUAAAAUUUUUGUUUUAAGUUUUUUUUGGAGCUUCAAUGUUGGUGUUUUUAUGUAAAUGGAAUGUUGAAGAUUCAAUGUCCAGAGAGUUCUCGUUAUUAUGUAUUGGUUGAAUUAAUUGAAAAAAAAAAAUUACGUUUCAAUUAGUGCGUUUCUUUUUAGAAAUGAGAGUGACAAAAAAGUUUACUAUUGAAAUUUCCUUUGCAGUUGCUAAUAUGAAUGUUUUCUAAGCUAAUAUUCAUGUUAACAACUUACUUUGAUUCGUUGAAUAUUGAAGAAAUGCAUUGAUUUCACUCUCUCUCUCUCUCUCUUUCUCUCUCUCUUUUUAGAUGUGGGAUUUUCUUUGUUUUGGAUACCAUGAAUGCAUUCAUUUUGUUAACUGAUACUUUACUUAGGUCUUAGCUAGCUUUAUACACUAGUUUGUCUACGUUCUAAUAGAUUUCGGGAUAUUUGGUGUAUAUAUUGAUGGUAAUACUGUUUUGUGCUAAAUCAAAAUCAGGGUUGUUUAUUCCGAGUCUUUGUUCUUUCUUUUAUUUUUUUCAGGUUU